rnacentral:rRNA from 1 species
GCCGUAGGUGGCGAACGUUAUCCGGAAUUACUGGGCGUAAAGGGCGCGUAGGCGGCCUUCUAAGUCAGACGUGAAAUCCCCAGGCUUAACUUGGGAACGGCGUCUGAUACUGGGAGGCUUGAGUGCGGGAGAGGGAUGUGGAAUUCCAGGUGUAGCGGUGAAAUGCGUAGAUAUCUGGAGGAACACCGGUGGCGAAGGCGGCAUCCUGGACCGACACUGACGCUGAGGCGCGAAAGCUAGGGGAGCAAACGGG